rnacentral:tRNA from 1 species
ACCUGGCUGGCUUAGUAGGUAGAGUACGGGACUCUUGAUCUUGGGGUCGUGAGUUCGAGCCCUACGUUGGGUG